GACGAACGCUGGCGGCGUGCUUAACACAUGCAAGUCGAACGGAAAGGCCCUGCUUUUGUGGGGUGCUCGAGUGGCGAACGGGUGAGUAACACGUGAGUAACCUGCCCAUGACUUUGGGAUAACUUCAGGAAACUGGGGCUAAUACCGGAUAGGAGCUCCUGCUGCAUGGUGGGGGUUGGAAAGUUUCGGCGGUUGGGGAUGGACUCGCGGCUUAUCAGCUUGUUGGUGGGGUAGUGGCUUACCAAGGCUUUGACGGGUAGCCGGCCUGAGAGGGUGACCGGCCACAUUGGGACUGAGAUACGGCCCCGACUCCUACGGGAGGCAGCAGUGGGGAAUAUUGCACAAUGGGCGGAAGCCUGAUGCAGCAACGCCGCGUGCGGGAUGACGGCCUUCGGGUUGUAAACCGCUUUCGCCUGUGACGAAGCGUGAGUGACGGUAAUGGGUAAAGAAGCACCGGCUAACUACGUG
rnacentral:rRNA from 1 species